UACGGAGGGGACUAGCGUUGUUCGGAAUUACUGGGCGUAAAGGGCGCGUAGGCGGCCUUCUAAGUCGAACGUGAAAUCCCCGGGCUCAACCCGGGAACUGCGUCCGAUACUGGAAGGCUUGAAUCCGGGAGAGGGAUGCGGAAUUCCAGGUGUAGCGGUGAAAUGCGUAGAUAUCUGGAGGAACACCGGUGGCGAAGGCGGCAUCCUGGACCGGCAUUGACGCUGAGGCGCGAAAGCCAGGGGAGCAAACGGG
rnacentral:rRNA from 1 species